rnacentral:misc_RNA from 1 species
GAUGAAGAACGCAGCGAAAUGCGAUAAGUAAUGUGAAUUGCAGAAUUCAGUGAAUCAUCGAAUCUUUGAACGCACAUUGUGCCCGCCAGUAUUCUGGCGGGCAUGCCUGUUUGAGCGUCAUUUCAACCAUCAAGCUCUGCUUGCGUUGGGGAUCCGCGGCUGCCCGCGGUCCCUCAAAACCAGUGGCGGGCUCGCUAGUCACACCGAGCGUAGUAACUUUACAUCGCUAUGGUCGUGCGGCGGGUGCUUGCCGUAAAACCCCCCAAUUUUUAAGGUUGACCUCGGAUCAGGUAGGAAUACCCGCUGAACUUAAGCAUAUCAAUAAGCGGAGGA